CCAGCUACCGCGGUCACACGAUUAGCCCUAGCUAAUAGAGAUCGGCGUAGAGGGUGUUUAAGAUCUAACACAAUAAAGCUAAACUCCAUCUAAACUGUAAAACCCUAGCUAAUGUAAAAUAAACUACGAAAGUGGCUUUAAAACUUCUGAACACACAAUAGCCAAGACCCAAACUGGGAUUAGACACCCUACUAUGCUUGGCCCUAAACCUCAGUAGUUAAAUAACAAAACUACUCGCCAGAAUACUACAAGCAACAGCUUAAAACUCAAAGGACUUGACGGUGCUUUACACCCUCUAGAGGAGCCUGUUCCGUAAUCGAUAAACCCCGAUCCACCCCACCCUCUCUUGCUCAGCCUAUAUACCGCCAUCUUCAGCAAACCCUGAUAAAGGCCACAAAGUGAGCGCAAACGCCACCACCGCGAAGACGUUAGGUC
rnacentral:rRNA from 1 species